GACGAACGCUGGCGGCGUGCUUAACACAUGCAAGUCGAACGGAAAGGCCCUGCUUUUGUGGGGUGCUCGAGUGGCGAACGGGUGAGUAACACGUGAGUAACCUGCCCUUGACUGUGGGAGAACUACAGGAAACUGGGGCUAAUACCGGAUAGGAGCUCCUGCUGCAGGGUGGGGGUUGGAAAGUUUCGGCGGUGGGGGAUGGUCUCGCGGCUUAUCAGCUUGUUGGUGGGGUAGUGGCUGACCAAGGCUUUGACGGGUAGCCGGCCUGAGAGGGUGACCGGCCACAUUGGGCCUGCGAUACGCCCCAGACUCCUACGGUCGGCAGCAGUGGGGAAUCUUGCACAAUGGGCGGAAGCCUGAUACAGCAACGCCGCGUGCGUGAUGCCGUCCUUCGGGUUGUAAACCGCUUUCGCCUGUGACGAAGCGUGAGUGACGGUAAUGGGUAAAGAAGCACCGGCUAACUACGUG
rnacentral:rRNA from 1 species